AGCGUACACGGUGGAUGCCCUGGCAGUCAGAGGCGAUGAAGGACGUGCUAAUCUGCGAUAAGCGUCGGUAAGGUGAUAUGAACCGUUAUAACCGGCGAUUUCCGAAUGGGGAAACCCAGUGUGUUUCGACACACUAUCAUUAACUGAAUCCAUAGGUUAAUGAGGCGAACCGGGGGAACUGAAACAUCUAAGUACCCCGAGGAAAAGAAAUCAACCGAGAUUCCCCCAGUAGCGGCGAGCGAACGGGGAGCAGCCCAGAGCCUGAAUCAGUGUGUGUGUUAGUGGAAGCGUCUGGAAAGGCGUGCGAUACAGGGUGACAGCCCCGUACACAAAAAUGCACAUACUGUGAGCUCGAUGAGUAGGGCGGGACACGUGGUAUCCUGUCUGAAUAUGGGGGGACCAUCCUCCAAGGCUAAAUACUCCUGACUGACCGAUAGUGAACCAGUACCGUGAGGGAAAGGCGAAAAGAACCCCGGCGAGGGGAGUGAAAAAGAACCUGAAACCGUGUACGUACAAGCAGUGGGAGCACGCUUAGGCGUGUGACUGCGUACCUUUUGUAUAAUGGGUCAGCGACUUAUAUUCUGUAGCAAGGUUAACCGAAUAGGGGAGCCGAAGGGAAACCGAGUCUUAACUGGGCGUUAAGUUGCAGGGUAUAGACCCGAAACCCGGUGAUCUAGCCAUGGGCAGGUUGAAGGUUGGGUAACACUAACUGGAGGACCGAACCGACUAAUGUUGAAAAAUUAGCGGAUGACUUGUGGCUGGGGGUGAAAGGCCAAUCAAACCGGGAGAUAGCUGGUUCUCCCCGAAAGCUAUUUAGGUAGCGCCUCGUGAAUUCAUCUCCGGGGGUAGAGCACUGUUUCGGCAAGGGGGUCAUCCCGACUUACCAACCCGAUGCAAACUGCGAAUACCGGAGAAUGUUAUCACGGGAGACACACGGCGGGUGCUAACGUCCGUCGUGAAGAGGGAAACAACCCAGACCGCCAGCUAAGGUCCCAAAGUCAUGGUUAAGUGGGAAACGAUGUGGGAAGGCCCAGACAGCCAGGAUGUUGGCUUAGAAGCAGCCAUCAUUUAAAGAAAGCGUAAUAGCUCACUGGUCGAGUCGGCCUGCGCGGAAGAUGUAACGGGGCUAAACCAUGCACCGAAGCUGCGGCAGCGACGCUGAUGCGUUGUUGGGUAGGGGAGCGUUCUGUAAGCCUGCGAAGGUGUGCUGUGAGGCAUGCUGGAGGUAUCAGAAGUGCGAAUGCUGACAUAAGUAACGAUAAAGCGGGUGAAAAGCCCGCUCGCCGGAAGACCAAGGGUUCCUGUCCAACGUUAAUCGGGGCAGGGUGAGUCGACCCCUAAGGCGAGGCCGAAAGGCGUAGUCGAUGGGAAACAGGUUAAUAUUCCUGUACUUGGUGUUACUGCGAAGGGGGGACGGAGAAGGCUAUGUUGGCCGGGCGACGGUUGUCCCGGUUUAAGCGUGUAGGCUGGUUUUCCAGGCAAAUCCGGAAAAUCAAGGCUGAGGCGUGAUGACGAGGCACUACGGUGCUGAAGCAACAAAUGCCCUGCUUCCAGGAAAAGCCUCUAAGCAUCAGGUAACAUCAAAUCGUACCCCAAACCGACACAGGUGGUCAGGUAGAGAAUACCAAGGCGCUUGAGAGAACUCGGGUGAAGGAACUAGGCAAAAUGGUGCCGUAACUUCGGGAGAAGGCACGCUGAUAUGUAGGUGAAGUCCCUCGCGGAUGGAGCUGAAAUCAGUCGAAGAUACCAGCUGGCUGCAACUGUUUAUUAAAAACACAGCACUGUGCAAACACGAAAGUGGACGUAUACGGUGUGACGCCUGCCCGGUGCCGGAAGGUUAAUUGAUGGGGUCAGCGCAAGCGAAGCUCUUGAUCGAAGCCCCGGUAAACGGCGGCCGUAACUAUAACGGUCCUAAGGUAGCGAAAUUCCUUGUCGGGUAAGUUCCGACCUGCACGAAUGGCGUAAUGAUGGCCAGGCUGUCUCCACCCGAGACUCAGUGAAAUUGAACUCGCUGUGAAGAUGCAGUGUACCCGCGGCAAGACGGAAAGACCCCGUGAACCUUUACUAUAGCUUGACACUGAACAUUGAGCCUUGAUGUGUAGGAUAGGUGGGAGGCUUUGAAGUGUGGACGCCAGUCUGCAUGGAGCCGACCUUGAAAUACCACCCUUUAAUGUUUGAUGUUCUAACGUUGACCCGUAAUCCGGGUUGCGGACAGUGUCUGGUGGGUAGUUUGACUGGGGCGGUCUCCUCCUAAAGAGUAACGGAGGAGCACGAAGGUUGGCUAAUCCUGGUCGGACAUCAGGAGGUUAGUGCAAUGGCAUAAGCCAGCUUGACUGCGAGCGUGACGGCGCGAGCAGGUGCGAAAGCAGGUCAUAGUGAUCCGGUGGUUCUGAAUGGAAGGGCCAUCGCUCAACGGAUAAAAGGUACUCCGGGGAUAACAGGCUGAUACCGCCCAAGAGUUCAUAUCGACGGCGGUGUUUGGCACCUCGAUGUCGGCUCAUCACAUCCUGGGGCUGAAGUAGGUCCCAAGGGUAUGGCUGUUCGCCAUUUAAAGUGGUACGCGAGCUGGGUUUAGAACGUCGUGAGACAGUUCGGUCCCUAUCUGCCGUGGGCGCUGGAGAACUGAGGGGGGCUGCUCCUAGUACGAGAGGACCGGAGUGGACGCAUCACUGGUGUUCGGGUUGUCAUGCCAAUGGCACUGCCCGGUAGCUAAAUGCGGAAGAGAUAAGUGCUGAAAGCAUCUAAGCACGAAACUUGCCCCGAGAUGAGUUCUCCCUGACUCCUUGA
rnacentral:rRNA from 1 species